rnacentral:lncRNA from 1 species
UUGUCUUUGACGAUUUUUUAAACACACUUUGUUGUCUCCAUGCUUUCCGCGCCUAUACCGUAGGUCUCCCAUCCUCUUCAAUUUUUCAAGUCACCAGCCUCUGCUGCUCUAUAUUCAUUAGUGUCUGGAGCCAAAUUCUAACCCGGUGCCACUAAGGGGAGCGACCUUUGCUGCUCACCAUGAGACAGGCAGCAUUUACCAGUCCAAAGAAACAGGAACCCCAAACAGUAUUUCUGAAGUGCUAGAGAAAAUCCACCCAGAUGAGAAUCUGUGGUCUAACGCAUGCCUGGAGUCACAAUGGAAGUUCGAGCCAGGACAUAGCCUACCAAGCUUUUAACAGGGAGCCAGAGGCAUCCUCUCUCUAACUUGUAGUAAGUCCACUUGGUUUCAAUAUGAAAAGUUAUGCCCUUCUGACAAUCUCAUGAAAUUA